UCAUACGGGCAGCUACCAUGCCAGAACCAGGAGACUAGCUUUGUGGCUUUAACUGCUCCAGCUUUUUUUGUAAGCACAUCUAACUGUAUGAAGAUGCAAAAGACAUAAAUAAGAAUCCACUAUAAUUGGCAAGAAAACAAGCAGAAUGUACUGAAAGUACCAUACCUGUACAAGCAGAGAGUUUGUCUGAGUUUAAAAGAAAGAAAGAAAGAAAAGAAAACAGAACUGGAAGGGGAUCGAUGCCAUUUCACAAGAUAGGAUCAAACUAUUGCGGCAGAAAGCUGGAAGAAGCUUGCAGAUCGGCUGAAUCUUGAUCUAUCCUCUCCCUCUCGCAUAUGUAAAUUGCGGUUGCUUUCUUCAGAUCUGCCAUCAGACUCUGCUACCAACCACCUCUCCCAAGUUUUUCAAAGACUGUUGCCAAACAGAAAAAUGGACUCUGUAUGUGUCUGUAUCCAUGAAUGAAAUUCAGCCAAGAGUCUGUUCAGCUCCUCCAAUAAUCCUUAGGAGAAGUGCUCUUGGACAUAACGGACAGAAAUGCUCUUGGACAUGUUUUAAUGGACAGAUUUCCAUUUUUUUCCCAGAUUUUUCUGUUUGCGCAUUCCAUCACAUGACUAAAGACUAAACUUAUGUGUCUACUUCUUAUUGUCUGAUAUUUUAAUAUCAACAGAGACGAUAGCCUACCAAACUUUUGUUUACUUUGCAUUUUACUUUAUUUGUACACAUUUCCCAUUUAUUCAUCCUGUUAUGAAUACAAAAAUGUGUAUGUGUAUGUUUGUAGUGGUGCUAUUGGUUUCAAAAACUUCUCAAAACUACCUUGAGAACUCUUUAAAUCAGUUUCUUAAGUGGUGUCUCUUGAAAUGCUGAGGACAUAAAAUAUUGGCCAU